CCUGUCUGGUCUGGAAUCGACGUCCUCACGGCUCACGGCUACGUCGACUACAACGCAACGGGGACAAGGACAAGCCGGACAAGAUACGCCGCUGAGGUUCGCACCUCUCAGUUGCCUAAGCAAACAGGGGCAAUUGCUGGCCAUAUUGACCUCGUGUAGAGGCAGGAGCCAAUACAACAUUAAAGAAGAAGAAGAAGAAGAAGCCGCUGAGGUUCGUCCAGUUCGUCCUGGCCAUAUUUCACCAUAUUUGGAGCAGUACUGUUAAAGGCCAUUAUACAAGAAGAGGAAGACUGUGGUCCCGGUUUAUCGAUGCAGAACGUUAGAUGUUUAUAAUAGCAUCUUUAUAAAAAUAUAUUAAGAAAAUGACCGAAUGCAACGAACACUUAAACUGUGCGAGAGGAGUGGAUGAAUGUGGAAUAUAUACCAAGGAUUACUUACAAAGAAUGAAUUGUAAAUUGAGAGGGAUGGCCUCACCAAAGCAUCCUGACAUCAAUUUUGCUGCGAGAAUAGCAACAAUACCGAAGCAUCCCGAAUAUAUCAGUUAUGCUGCGAGAUUAGCCUCGUUC